UCUCCGUUGGUGAACCAGCGGAGGGAUCAUUAAAGAGUUGCAAAACUCCCAAACCAUUGUGAACAUACCUUCACUGUUGCUUCGGCGGGUUAACGCCCCGGAAGGCCCGCGAGGGCCGCCGGAACCAGGCGCCCGCCGGGGGACCAAAACUCUUGUAUCUUUUUUAUAGCAUGUCUGAGUGGAAUCAUAAACAAAUGAAUCAAAACUUUCAACAGCGGAUCUCUUGGUUCUG
rnacentral:misc_RNA from 1 species